GACGAACGCUGGCGGCGUGCCUAAUACAUGCAAGUUGAGCGCUGAAGGUUGGUACUUGUACCAACUGGAUGAGCAGCGAACGGGUGAGUAACGCGUGGGGAAUCUGCCUUUGAGCGGGGGACAACAUUUGGAAACGAAUGCUAAUACCGCAUAAAAACUUUAAACACAAGUUUUAAGUUUGAAAGAUGCAAUUGCAUCACUCAAAGAUGAUCCCGCGUUGUAUUAGCUAGUUGGUGAGGUAAAGGCUCACCAAGGCGAUGAUACAUAGCCGACCUGAGAGGGUGAUCGGCCACAUUGGGACUGAGACACGGCCCAAACUCCUACGGGAGGCAGCAGUAGGGAAUCUUCGGCGAUGGACGAAAGUCUGACCGAGCAACGCCGCGUGAGUGAAGAAGGGUUUCGGAUCGUAAAACUCUGUUGGUAGAGAAGAACGUUGGUGAGAGUGGAAAGCUCAUCAAGUGACGGUAACUACACAGAAAGGGACGGCUAACUACGUG
rnacentral:rRNA from 1 species